AUGGAGUACAAAUACAGAGACCUAACUGUACGUGAAACUGUCAAUGUUACUACUCUAUCCAAAGAUCUCAAACCUGUAUUGGAUUCAUAUGUGUUUAAUGAUGGCAGUUCCAGGGAACUAAUGAACCUCACUGGGACAAUUCCUGUGCCUUAUAGAGGUAACACAUAUAAUAUUCUGAUAUGCCUAUGGCUGCUGGACACGUACCCAUAUAAUCCCCCUAUCUGUUUUGUUAAGCCUACUAGUUCAAUGACUAUUAAAACAGGAAAGCAUGUUGAUGCAAAUGGCAAGAUAUAUCUUCCUUAUCUACAUGAGUGGAAACAUCCACAGUCAGACUUAUCGGGACUUAUUGAGGUCAUGAUUGUGGUAUUUGGAGAAGAACCUCCAGUCUUUUCUUGUCCCACUAUUUCAGCAUCCUAUCCACCAUACCAAGCAACAGGGCCACCAAAUACUUCCUACAUGCCAGGCAUGCCAAGUGGAAUUUCUGCAUAUCCAUCUGGAUACCUUCCCAAUCCCAGUGGUUACCCAGGUUGUUCUUACCCACCUGGUAGCUCAUAUCCUACCACAACAAGUUCCCAAUAUCCUUCCCAGCCUCCUGUGACCACUGUUGGUCCCAGUAGAGAUGGCACAAUCAGUGAGGACACCAUCCGAGCCUCUCUCAUCUCAGCAGUCAGUGACAAAUUGAGAUGGAGGAUGAAGGAAGAAAUGGAUCGUGCCCAAGCAGAGCUCAAUGCCUUGAAACAGAGAAAGACCUGAAAAAAGGUCACCAGAAACUGGAAGAGAUGGUUACUCGUUUAGAUCAAGAAGUAGCUGAGGGUGAUAAAAACACAGAACUUUUGAAAAAGAAGGAUGAAGAACUCAGUUCUGCUCUGGAGAAAAUGGAAAAUCGGUCUGAAAACAAUGAUAUUGAUGAAGUUAUCAUUCCCACAGCCCCACUAUACAAACAGAUUUUAAAUCUGUAUGCAGAGGAAAAUGCAAUUGAAGACACUAUCUUUUACCUGGGAGAAGCCUUAAGGCGAGGAGUAAUAGACCUGGAUGUCUUCCUGAAGCAUGUACGUCUUCUGUCCCGUCUUCUGUCCCGUAAACAGUUCCAGCUGAGGGCCCUAAUGCAAAAAGCAAGAAAGACUGCUGGUCUUAGUGACCUCUACUGACUGCUCUAAUACCAGCUGGAGAUUGAGCUCAUCUUAAAACAUUUUCUUUUCUUCUCUUUCUUUCUCU